GCCCAUGUAGCUCAGCCGGUAGAGCACUUCCUUGGUAAGGAAGAGGUCGGCGGUUCGAGCCCGCUCGUGGGCUCCA
rnacentral:tRNA from 1 species